UGGCGGAAUGCUUUACACAUGCAAGUCGAACGGCAGCACGGACUUCGGUCUGGUGGCGAGUGGCGAACGGGUGAGUAACAUAUCGGAACGUAUCCAAUAAUGGGGGAUAACUAAUCGAAAGGUUGGCUAAUACCGCAUACGCCCUACGGGGGAAAGCAGGGGAUCUUCGGACCUUGCGUUAAUGGAGCGGCUGAUAUCUGAUUAGCUAGUUGGUGAGGUAAAGGCUCACCAAGGCGACGAUCAGUAGCUGGUCUGAGAGGACGACCAGCCACACUGGAACUGAGACACGGUCCAGACUCCUACGGGAGGCAGCAGUGGGGAAUUUUGGACAAUGGGCGCAAGCCUGAUCCAGCCAUUCCGCGUGAGUGAAGAAGGCCUUCGGGUUGUAAAGCUCUUUCGCAAGGGAAGAAAACUUACCUUUUAAUAAAGGGUGAGGUUGACGGUACCUUGAUAAGAAGCACCGGCUAACUACGUGCCAGCAGCCGCGGUAAUACGUAGGGUGCGAGCGUUAAUCGGAAUUACUGGGCGUAAAGCGUGCGCAGGCGGUUUUGUAAGUCAGAUGUGAAAUCCCCGAGCUCAACUUGGGAACUGCGUUUGAAACUACAAGACUAGAAUAUGUCAGAGGGGGGUAGAAUUCCACGCGUAGCAGUGAAAUGCGUAGAGAUGUGGAGGAAUACCAAUGGCGAAGGCAGCCCCCUGGGAUAAUAUUGACGCUCAUGCACGAAAGCGUGGGGAGCAAACAGGAUUAGAUACCCUGGUAGUCCACGCCCUAAACGAUGUCUACUAGUUGUUGGUGGAGUAAAAUCCAUGAGUAACGCAGCUAACGCGUGAAGUAGACCGCCUGGGGAGUACGGUCGCAAGAUUA
rnacentral:rRNA from 1 species